rnacentral:rRNA from 1 species
GAAGCGUCUGGAAAGGCGCGCGAUACAGGGUGACAGCCCCGUACACAAAAGCGCAUGUGCUGUGAGCUCGAUGAGUAGGGCGGGACACGUGAUAUCCUGUCUGAAUAUGGGGGGACCAUCCUCCAAGGCUAAAUACUCCUGACUGACCGAUAGUGAACCAGUACCGUGAGGGAAAGGCGAAAAGAACCCCGGCGAGGGGAGUGAAAAAGAACCUGAAACCGUGUACGUACAAGCAGUGGGAGCACCCUUCGGGGUGUGACUGCGUACCUUUUGUAUAAUGGGUCAGCGACUUAUAUUCUGUAGCAAGGUUAACCGAAUAGGGGAGCCGGAGGGAAACCGAGUCUUAACCGGGCGUUAAGUUGCAGGGUAUAGACCCGAAACCCGGUGAUCUAGCCAUGGGCAGGUUGAAGGUUGGGUAACACUAACUGGAGGACCGAACCGACUAAUGUUGAAAAAUUAGCGGAUGACCUGUGGCUGGGGGUGAAAGGCCAAUCAAACCGGGAGAUAGCUGGUUCUCCCCGAAAGCUAUUUAGGUAGCGCCUCGUGAAUUCAUCUCCGGGGGUAGAGCACUGUUUCGGCUAGGGGGCCAUCCCGGCUUACCAACCCGAUGCAAACUGCGAAUACCGGAGAAUGUUAUCACGGGAGACACACGGCGGGUGCUAACGUCCGUCGUGAAGAGGGAAACAACCCAGACCGCCAGCUAAGGUCCCAAAGUCAUGGUUAAGUGGGAAACGAUGUGGGAAGGCCCAGACAGCCAGGAUGUUGGCUUAGAAGCAGCCAUCAUUUAAAGAAAGCGUAAUAGCUCACUGGUCGAGUCGGCCUGCGCGGAAGAUGUAACGGGGCUAAACCAU